UUAAUUGAAGAGUUUGAUCAUGGCUCAGAUUGAACGCUGGCGGCAGGCCUAACACAUGCAAGUCGAGCGGUAACAGAAAGUAGCUUGCUACUUUGCUGACGAGCGGCGGACGGGUG
rnacentral:rRNA from 2 species